AACAGACCAACCCUUGAAGGCUUCUGCACCUAUCAGGAUAUUCUAGUCCAACAUCGAGGUCACAAACCUUUUUUUCGAUGGGAACUCUCAAAAAAGAUUAUGCUGUUAUCCCUACGGUAACUAAUUCUUUUAAUCGUAAUAAAUACGGAUCUAGAUUUAGAUAUUUUUAUAAAUAAAAGAAGCUUUAAUUGUUCCUUAGUCGCCCCAACCAAAAUUUUUUAUGAAAAGAAAUGUAUAGUACUUUCUUUAUAUCAUAAAUGACUUUUAAGCUCGAUAGGGUCUUCUUGUCUUUUAAUUUUAUCUAAGUUUCUUCACUUAGAAAAUAAAUUCCAGGGAUUUCUGUAGAGACAGGGUCGCCCUUGUCAAACCUUUCAUACUAGCCCUCAAUUAUAGGGCAAAUGAUUAUGCUACCUUUGCACGGUCAGAGUACCGCGGGCGUUAAAUACUA
rnacentral:rRNA from 1 species